UUAAUCAUAUACAAUGCUUCAGAGUCCUUUGAACCAAUAACUCUGUCAAAUCGAGCUCUCAUGUAAGUCAUUUCUCCUGCUGUCUCUUGCUCGUAUUGGUUCUUACAUGGUAAAACUCCAGCUCCCAUUGAAACACCUCUUAAUGCAUCAAUUACAUACAUCUCCUCUUCACUCAUGUUCUUUCUCCUAAUCGAAUACCCGAUUUUCCGUCCGUUACAGUAAAUCCCCCACACAUACUCCUCCAACACCUUCUUCCUAGACGUCCUUGUCUCGCUUUCUAGCGCAAUUCUCACGGUCUCCGAGGCCAUCUCCUUCUGG
rnacentral:lncRNA from 1 species